UGACCACCGGUCAUCCCGAGUGACCACCGGUCAUUGGGAAGGGUUUGAGGUCAUUGGGAGUGACCAGUGGUCAUUGGGAAGGGUUUGAGGUCAUCUGGACCCAUUGAGGGUCAUCAAGAACCUCCCAAAGCCCAUCUUGACCUACCAAAGGUCAUCAAGAACCCACCAGGGGUCAUCUGGAAGGGGUUAGAGGUCAUUGGGAGUGACCAGUGGUCAUUGGGAGUGACCAGUGGUCAUCGGGAAGGGUUUGAGGUCAUUGGGAGUGACCAGUGGUCAUUGGGAAGGGUUUGAGGUCAUUGGGAGUGACCAGAGGUCAUCCAUGACGUGUUGGUGGACAUGGCCAUGCUGGUGGAGAGCCAGGUCCGGCCGGAGUGACCACCGGUCAUCCCGAGUGACCACCGGUCAUUGGGAGUGACCACCGGUCAUCCCGAGUGACCACCGGUCAUUGGGAAGGGUUUGAGGUCAUCUGGACCCAUUGAGGGUCAUCAAGAACCUCCCAAAGCCCAUCUUGACCCACCAAAGGUCAUCAAGAACCCACCAGGGGUCAUCUGGAAGGGGUUGGAGGUCAUUGGGAGUGACCAGUGGUCAUCGGGAAGGGUUUGAGGUCAUCAGGAUGGGUUUGAGGUCAUCUGGACCCAUUGAGGGUCAUCAAGAACCUCCCAAAGCCCAUCUUGACCCACCAAGGGUCAUCAAGAACCCACCAGGUGUCAUCUGGAAGGGGUUAGAGGUCAUUGGGAGUGACCAGUGGUCAUUGGGAGUGACCAGUGGUCAUUGGGAAGGGUUUGAGGUCAUUGGGAGUGACCAGUGGUCAUCGGGAUGGGUUUGAGGUCAUUGGGAGUGACCAGUGGUCAUUGGGAGUGACCAGUGGUCAUCUGGAAGGGGUUUGAGGUCAUUGGGAGUGACCAGAGGUCAUUGGGAGUGACCAGUGGUCAUCCAUGACGUGUUGGUGGACAUGGCCGUGCUGGUGGAGAGCCAGGUCCGGCCGGAGUGACCACCGGUCAUCCCGAGUGACCACCGGUCAUCCCGAGUGACCACCGGUCAUCCCGAGUGGCCACCGGUCAUUGGGAUGGGUUUGAGGUCAUCUGGACCCAUUGAGGGUCAUCAAGAACCUCCCAAAGCCCAUCUUGACCCACCAAAGGUCAUCAAGAACCCACCAGGGGUCAUCUGGAAGGGGUUAGAGGUCAUUGGGAGUGACCAGUGGUCAUUGGGAAGGGUUUGAGGUCAUCGGGAGUGACCAUUGGUCAUCCAUGACGUGUUGGUGGACAUGGCCAUGCUGGUGGAGAGCCAGGUCCGGCCGGAGUGACCACUGGUCAUCCCGAGUGACCACCGGUCAUCCUGAGUGACCAGUGGUCAUCGGGAUGGGUUUGAGGUCAUCUGGACCCAUUGAGGGUCAUCAAGAACCUCCCAAAGCCCAUCUUGACCCACCAAAGGUCAUCAAGAACCCACCAGGGGUCAUCUGGAAGGGGUUUGAGGUCAUUGGGAGUGACCAGUGGUCAUUGGAAGUGACCAGUGGUCAUUGGGAGUGACCAGUGGUCAUUGGGAGUGACCAGUGGUCAUCCAUGACGUGUUGGUGGACAUGGCCAUGCUGGUGGAGAGCCAAGUCCAGCCGGAGUGACCACCGGUCAUCCCGAGUGACCACCGGUCAUCCCGAGUGACCAGUGGUCAUCCUGAGUGGCCACCGGUCAUCGGGAAGGGUUUGAGGUCAUUGGGAGUGACCAGUGGUCAUUGGGAGUGACCAGUGGUCAUUGGGAAGGGUUUGAGGUCAUUGGGAAGGGUUUGAGGUCAUCUCAACCCAUUGAGGGUCAUCAAGAACCUCCCAAAGACCAUCUUGACCCACCAGGGGUCAUCAAGAACCCACCAGGGGUCAUC